GAUGAACGCUGGCGGCGUGCCUAAUACAUGCAAGUCGAGCGAACAGAUGAGGAGCUUGCUCCUCUGACGUUAGCGGCGGACGGGUGAGUAACACGUGGAUAACCUACCUAUAAGACUGGGAUAACUUCGGGAAACCGGAGCUAAUACCGGAUAAUAUAUUGAACCGCAUGGUUCAAUAGUGAAAGACGGUUUUGCUGUCACUUAUAGAUGGAUCCGCGCCGCAUUAGCUAGUUGGUAAGGUAACGGCUUACCAAGGCGACGAUGCGUAGCCGACCUGAGAGGGUGAUCGGCCACACUGGAACUGAGACACGGUCCAGACUCCUACGGGAGGCAGCAGUAGGGAAUCUUCCGCAAUGGGCGAAAGCCUGACGGAGCAACGCCGCGUGAGUGAUGAAGGUCUUCGGAUCGUAAAACUCUGUUAUUAGGGAAGAACAAAUGUGUAAGUAACUAUGCACGUAUUGACGGUACCUAAUCAGAAAGCCACGGCUAACUACGUG
rnacentral:rRNA from 1 species